GUUGGCAGGUCUAUACAUGCAGUCGAGCGAACUGAUUAGAAGCUUGCUUCUAUGACGUUAGCGGCGGACGGGUGAGUAACACGUGGGCAACCUGCCUGUAAGACUGGGAUAACUUCGGGAAACCGAAGCUAAUACCGGAUAGGAUCUUCUCCUUCAUGGGAGAUGAUUGAAAGAUGGUUUCGGCUAUCACUUACAGAUGGGCCCGCGGUGCAUUAGCUAGUUGGUGAGGUAACGGCUCACCAAGGCAACGAUGCAUAGCCGACCUGAGAGGGUGAUCGGCCACACUGGGACUGAGACACGGCCCAGACUCCUACGGGAGGCAGCAGUAGGGAAUCUUCCGCAAUGGACGAAAGUCUGACGGAGCAACGCCGCGUGAGUGAUGAAGGCUUUCGGGUCGUAAAACUCUGUUGUUAGGGAAGAACAAGUACAAGAGUAACUGCUUGUACCUUGACGGUACCUAACCAGAAAGCCACGGCUAACUACGUGCCAGCAGCCGCGGUAAUACGUAGGUGGCAAGCGUUAUCCGGAAUUAUUGGGCGUAAAGCGCGCGCAGGCGGUUUCUUAAGUCUGAUGUGAAAGCCCACGGCUCAACCGUGGAGGGUCAUUGGAAACUGGGGAACUUGAGUGCAGAAGAGAAAAGCGGAAUUCCACGUGUAGCGGUGAAAUGCGUAGAGAUGUGGAGGAACACCAGUGGCGAAGGCGGCUUUUUGGUCUGUAACUGACGCUGAGGCGCGAAAGCGUGGGGAGCAACAGGAUUAGAUACCCUGGUAGUCCACGCCGUAACGAUGAGUGCUAGUGUAGAGGGUUUCCGCCCUUUAGUGCUGCAGCUAACGCAUUAGCACUCGCCUGGGGAGUACGGUCGCAGACUGAACUCAAGGAUUGACGGGGCCGCCCAAGCGGUGGAGCAUGUGGUUUAUCGAGGCACCGCGAAGACUACAGUCUUGACAUUCCUCUGACACUCUAGAGAAUAGAGCGUCCCUGGGACGUGGAAGGUGGUGCAUGGUUGUCUCACUCGUCCUGAAAUGUGUAAGUCCGACAGGCAACUUGAUCUUAGUGGCACUAUGACCUAAGGUACUGACGUCACCGAAAGUGAAAGCUAAUCUGUCCUUGACUGCUUACAGCU
rnacentral:rRNA from 2 species